AAUUCUCAACCUCACCAGUUUUCUGAACUGUUCUUCGAGGCUUGGAUGUGGGGGUUUGUGCAGGCUGCCUCACAGCGGUCUGCUCCCCUGAAAUGCAUUAGCGAGUUCAUACUGAACUUCCGUCUAUUGGUGUGAUAAUUAUCUACGCCGUGGACGAGGAUCAGACUCGCUUCUAACCGUCCGCAAGGACAAUACCUUGACA
rnacentral:misc_RNA from 1 species